UUUUCUUGUAUUUUUUUCUAGUUUGAGUAAAUUAAUCCAACUUUGUAGUUGUAUUCAAGUAUUUUUGUUCCUUACAUUUUCAGAUAUCCCCCUUUUUUUUUUUAAACCAUUACCUUCCGACUCGGAAUCAAUACUGUGUAUUAGCUCCAAGGCAGAAGAGUGGUAAAGGCUAGGCAAUGGGGGUCAAGUGACUUGCCCAGGGUCACACAGCUAGGAAGUGGCUGAGGCCAGAUUUGAACCUAGGACCUCCCGUCUCUAGGCCUGGUUCUCAAUCCACUGAGCUACCCAGCUGCCCCCAGAUAUACCUUUUAAAAUAUUUUCUUAUGUAGAAGAAAAACAUAUGACUUAAUCACUUGUUUAUAUGGGUCUAUGAUUUGGGGUUUUGGUUUUAAAAAAUUGCUCUAUUGCAAAAAUGAAUAACAUGGAAAUACUAGGCAUCAAGUGAUAACACUUGUAUAAGAUUUAUGGUGAAUAAAUUACAACUCAGUAGUAAACAAUGUGGCCUUUGAGAGCUUUUAUUCAGUUCUACUAUAGAUCGAAGAAUUGAGUCAGUCUUUCCAAAUAGGAUCUAGGAAAUUCAAUAGGUAAAGAGCACAAGAAGAGAAGAUCUGAAACCAAUCCCACUCUUCCUUAUCCUACCUCUUCCUCUUUUACAGGCCCAGGGCUCCGGCUCUUCACAGUGUUUGGCAGUUUAACUCAGAACCCUAGAAGCAUUUCUAAUUCUUUUAAUCAAUACCGACAGAUUUCUUGUGUCUUUUGAUCAAUAUACCCAUGCCCUUAAACAGCACUUUAGUCUUUCCAAAUAAAAGACUUGUUCCGACCUAGUUUACAGCUUUGGUCUAUUCCAUAACCAAAAGACAUAGUUAUCUCACUUGAUAAAGGUGUCUGGCAACUUGUAGUUAACAUUAAUCACAAGUUUUCCUUUUCUCCUCGCUUCCACUAUGCCUUACCAACUCAAGUACUUGUUCAGAGGUUAAAUACUCUCUCCCUUCCCUUUCCCCUCAGCUGAGCCUCUGCGCUUGCAAGAGUCCAAGCAGCUGGCAGCUGGCGUGGCUGUGCGGCUGUUGGAGUCGAUACAUUCAGAGUUGGUCGGAGUCCAGUGUCCCAAGCUUGAGCUGUUGUUGAUGUAGCGUGAAGUCCGAGUCUUUAACGCGCUCACCCUUCCCGUCGUUCUGUCUAGCACCUGUGCGGACCACUCACAGCUAGGGGACUUGUUCCUGCUACUUUGUUCCGGAUAAACACAUACUGUACCCUCCCUUUUACCACUGGCAGCCUUAUUGUUCACAAAUUUUGCUACCCCCACCACGCUUGACUACUGGAUUUGUCUAUUCACUGGUUCCAAUUGUGGUGUUAAAGAGGGAGUUCAGA
rnacentral:lncRNA from 1 species